GUUCAGAAAUGGAGAGGAAGGGACAAAUUGCAGACGAGUCCAGUUUGUUUUGUGAAUCAUGGUUCGUAAUAAUAGAACUGCAGUUUAUUCCUCCCUUAAAUAGUUAAAUCCUUUUGAUCCUUCCUUUUCUUAGCCGAGUUCUGAGAACAAUGAGCCUGAUGAAGCCAUAUUUUUUGUAUUUUGACUGUAUGAUUGGCUAUGAAAUUUCAAGUUUAAUGCAGUGCUUUGUGGCUCUUAAACAAAUUUUUGGUUUCUUUGUUCUCCAGGGAAAGAGAUUAGUCUUUGUUACCAAUAACUCCACAAAGUCCAGGAAACAAUAUGGGAAAAGUUUGAAACACUUGGUCUUAAUGUCAACGAGGAAGAAAUUUUUGCGUCGUCCUUUGCCGCUGCAGCAUAUUUGAAAUCCAUUAAUUUCCCGAAAGAUAAGAAGCUUUCUCUAUGUUUUCUUCUGUAUCAUGGAGGCGCCGGCGUCGGAGUCACUCAUCGGCGGCAAAAAGCUCACAAUAAGCUGUUCAAGGAGAAUUUUCCUGACAACAAAUCACUUUUAGUUAUGAGGUAUACGAGAACUUUUGAUCUAACCUUCGAUUUAUGAGCUUUGUUCGAUUAUUUUACUGUUUUCAUUGUUUUCUCAUAUUCUGUUUGGUUGCUGAGAAAACGGAGGGGGAAAAUGAAACAAAAUAAAGGAUCUACUUCGAUCGUACCUUAGACUCUAUCGUUUUGUUACGGUCUAUAUGAAUUAUGAUUUGAGUUCAGUAGAUAGAGAUACAACAUCAUAUAUGGUAGAAAUCAGAACUAUUUUGCACUCUUCCUGCUUUAGAGUAAUUAUAAUGUGCAAGAGUCUUCUAUUUUGUCGGGCCUUUUUGGCAACCAUUGUGGUGUAAACUUUGGUAAAAGCAUGCCGCAUGAAUUACAGAAUUAGAGGUGAGAGACGAUUGUCCUUAUAAAGUGUCACUCUAUUAGUCAAUUGUUUUCUAUAUCCAUUUCUCUCCAUUGCAACAAAAUAUGGUUACUAGUUUAAUGUUUUAGAUUUUAGACUGAUGGAGAACAUACAUGAUGCAAUGUACUUGAGUUCCAUUUCAUUGGAAAAUUGCAAGUGUGGAACUGCAGGGGGUUUGGUGAACUUCUUGGGUACAAUGGAAUCAAGGUAGAUUAUAGGUGAAUGUUCUGGUGUAUCCAUUUGUAUGGUACUGAGAAAUGAGCAGCUAAUUUUCCAUAAAUGUAAUUUAAUUUCCUUUCAGGUCAAUUAUACGUAAAAUUUUAAGCACUUCUGCCUACCUCUUGCAGGUGGCUCUUCCUCGAGAGUCUUCCACUGGAAAGAGAUUAAAGGUUUGGGUUGCCAGUUUUGCUAGUGCAGAUUGCAAAUAACCAUGUUUUUUUAGGAAUGCAAGCCUUCUUUAUUCUGUUAACUUUUUUUCUAUUAUUUCUCCUCCAUCAGUUUAAACUAAUUUCUCUUUUUUGUAUGAUUCUUAGGGUGUCUGGGACUCUCAUCCAUGUUUGGCAAAAGCAAUACUAUAGUUCCAUGGUUGAAAUUUUUUUUUUCUUUAUCCUCGUUGUGCUUCGUGUGAAUGUAAAUUGUGGACAUGAUGUAACAUGAUGUUGGGAUGUUGCUAAAUUUUUUGUUAGAUGUUUCAAUCCUAUGGAUUAUUAAUGAA